GGCCUUUAGCCAGUCCGGGUGGAUGGCCACGCCGCCUUCGGGGCGGUGGCCUUCCAUCCAGGCGCGGGUCAGCAGCCGCGACAGGCUC
rnacentral:tRNA from 1 species